CCUCCUGUUAACUUCCAACUUCGAAAAAAACUGUACAUGUUGUGUGUACGCUUGCACGAAGACCCAAUUACAGCGCCACACAACAGUUUGAAAUAGAAACAGCCAGUAGCACAAAAAUCGCUCGAGGAAAGUAGCUUCAAAUUAUGGCGGAACAAAAUAUAACAAACGAGGAUUCGAAACGUUCAAAUAAAAACACAAGAUUCAAACAACUAAAAGAAAAGUUUCAAGGUUCCUUGAAAUUUAGUUUUGUAUUUUUUAGUUUAAUUCAUUUAGCGACUAUUGUUAUUGCUGCCGUGUAUUACGACAAAUGUCCCGUCGAACCUGACAUACCUAAGUAUCUGCUUUGUUUGGGCAUUCUGGGCAUGGUCACCAAACUGAUAAGCCUUUUCAAAAAUUUCUUAAUAAAGCACAUAAGUGUGUCCCCGAUCUUAUCAUUUAUUUUAACAGGAGAGUUAACAGUAUUGAUUGUUGGAUCAUACUACGUUUACAGGGAAUAUGAACCCAACUAUGAUCCCGACAGUGGCGAACUGUAUUGUAACAAGACCUUGUAUUUAUUUGCGUUUAUUUAUAUGACAAUUAUUUAUUCUUUAAUAUUCCUAAUAAUAACAAUAGUGGGAUGCUUCGUGCUCAGUUUAGUGCUGCUUGACAAGUACGGUCCUCAUGAUAUUGAGGAAGAUGUCGGGGAGAUGGUGGAGAUUCCAAUUCCAACAGAACCAGGAACUGACGCCAUAAAACAAUAAAAAUAUUCAUACCAAUGUACAUUUUCUUUAAAUAAACAAAAAUCGAUAAAUGUACUUCCAUUAAUAUCCAUUUCGUGUAAACAAAAGCUUAAAAAAGCUCAGGAAGUGUCGCAUGGUAAAAAUAUUGACUGACCUACAAUACGAAUAAAUUCGUUGUAUGAGCAUGAGUUUAACUUUGUUUCGCUUGGCUUAUGCACGCCCACAAAUGGCGCCAGGAAUGCUAGUAAACAGGACGAAGGUCGGGCGCGUUAGUAGUCUCCAAGCAAUGUGAGGGAAUGCCCCAAUACUUCGAGAUGUGGUGAUCCCUUACUUUUGAGAGUGAGUAAUGGACGAACAACAUCAAGGUGAUGAUGAGACGAAUAAAAAGGCGGUAGUAAAGAGCUCCAUAAAAAAACUGAAGAAGAAGUUUGUACCUGGAUUGAAAUACACUCUUUUAAUAUCUGCAGCUAUAAAUUUUUCUAUGCUGGUAGUUGGGUGCUUAAACGUUCAUAAAUGCCCCGUCAACAAAGAUAUUCCGCUGUUCCUAAUAGCCACUGGUGAGGUGCUAUAGGACUAAUGUCUAAAUUUGUAAGUUACAUACGGGGAAGAUUAUCGAAGCACGUCCAAGUCUUGUACAUCGAAUCGGCAUUGUACAGUGUCGAGACAAUAUUUUUUUGCUUGGGGACUUAUUGGGUGUACAAAGCAUUUCAGCCCAGUUACGAUCCUUUAGAUGGAAAAUUGUAUUGUAACAAAACCGCGUAUUUGUUUGCAUUUAUCUACAUAACGUCAUUUUAUGCCAUAAUUAUCGCAAUUUUGGCGGGAUUUUGUUGCUUCAUAUGUUGUGCACUGUGUCUGUUCGCUGUGGCUACGAGAACCGGCAGUUCCGAAUCUCCGCACGUAAACGUUGAAGAAACUGAAACGUCAACCCUUAAGGUGGAAGACCAAAAUGUCGAACAACCCUUAGUCACAGCGAAUCCAUAAAAAUCACAAGUUUGCGUGAUACACUGGUGUAAUUUAUUAAAUGAUAUUGUUAUAAAAAAUUGGAUUGUAUUCUGGAAUCUUACUUCUUCUAUUAAACACAUUCUGAUCUAAGCCCAAAUAACUUAGCAAACAAUUGCGAGCACAAAGGAUUUAAUAUCCGUCUGUAGUUGAUACUGUAGAUGCCAACUAUUUAGAUUGCCACUCUGAACAAUAUGCCAAACCUAAAUUCAAAACUAAAAAUAUAAAUGAGCACCGUACGAAAAAUAUAAAUAGAGAAACAAGUAAACGCGCUGCUUCGCAAAGUGGCGCAUGUGUAAUUAAAGUGUAAAGCUGUUUGAAAAAUCUGCCAAUAUGUCAAAUGGAAAAACACUAGAAGCUGUUAUCGAGGUAGAAAAACAAGAUAAUGAAAAGAACACACAAUCGGAAGAGAGCGAGGCUCUGGAAAAAGUCAAAUUGAAAGCACCGCCUGGAAUAAACGCUUCGCUAGUUUUACUAUAUGCUAUUUUCUUCUUCAUGUUCGUUAUAGGAUGGGUGAAUCUGAAUAACUGCUCCGUCAGUAGACUGAUACCAAUAUACCUAAUUGUGGCAGGAUUUGUAGGUGCACUAACUAAAAGUAUUAGCGGAACAACGGAUAAGCACCUAUUUAAUGUGGUCAUUGCUUUGGCGAUCUUUUACAUCGUAUGGCACUGCUUAGGAGCAUAUUGGGUCUAUAAAGAAUACCAACCGAACUAUGAAGAAAGAGCUGGAGAGAAAUAUUGCAACAGAACGACAUACUUGUUGGCAUUUUGGAUCCUAACAAUACAACACACUAUACUUGUUUUUAUCAUCCUAUUAUCUGGCUGUAUAAAGCUAAUGAAAGGUGACUUUGUGGCAUCAAAAUAAAAAAUUGCUUCAAG